rnacentral:lncRNA from 1 species
AACUCCUGUGCCAUAUUUUAGAUUACAGUUUAAGUGAUAUCAUAUGGUAUUUGUCUUUCGCUUUCUGACUUCACUUAGUAUGAGAAUUUCUAGUUGCAUCCAUGUUGCUGCAAAUGACAUUAUUUCGUUCUUUUUUAUGGCUGAGUAGUAUUCCAUUUGUAUGUAUGUGCCACAUCGUCAUGAUCCAUUCGUCUGUUGAUGGACAUUUAGGCUACUUCCAUGUUUUGGCUAUUGUGAAUAGUGCCGCAAUGAACACUGGAGUGUAUGUAUCUUUUUGAAUGAAAGUUUUGUCUGGAUAUAUGCCCAGGAGUGGGAUUGCUGGAUCAUAUAGUAGUUCUAUAUUUACUUCUCUGAGGAGCCUCCAUACUGUUUUCCAUAUUGGUGGUACCAAUUUAUAUUCUCACCAGCAGUGUAGGGAAGUUCCCUCUUUUCCAUUCCCUCUCCAGGAUUUGUUAUUUGUAGACUUAUUAAUGAUGACUAUUCUGCCCGGUGUGAGGUGGUACCUCAUUUUAGUUUUUUUUUUUCUUUUUUUUUUUCUUUUAGGACUUCACCUUCGGCAUAUGGAAGUUCCCUGGCUAGGGGUCCAAUCAGAGCUGUGGGUGCCAGCCUAUGCCAUAGCCACAGCAAUGGGGGAUCCAAGCUGUGCCUGCGAUUUACACUACACUCACGGCAAUGCCAGAUUCUUAAGACACUGAGUGAGGCCAGGGAUCGAACCCAUGUCCUCAUGGAUACUGGUUGGUUCAUUUCUGCUCAGCCCCAUGGGAACUCCCUGAGUUUUGAUUUGUAUUUCUCUAUUAGCGAGGUUGAGCAUUUUUCCAUGUGCUUAUUGGCCAUCAAUAUGUCUUUUUUGAGAAAUGUCUCUUGAGGUCUUCUGCCCAUUUUUCGACUGAGUUGUUUAUUUUUUGUCAUUGUUGAAUUGUAUGAGUUGUCUGAUAUUUUGGGGAUUAAGCCCUUGUCAGUUGCAUCAUUUGCAACUAUUUUCUCCCAUUUCCUAUAUUGUCUCUCUCCUUUUAAUUUUAACUUUCAUAUAAUUUAAGUUGUCUCUUGAAUAGCAUUUGUUGUUGGAUUUGCUGCUUCAACACAUUGGGAGAGUGUUUGCAUUUUAAUAGGGAGUUUCAUCCAUUUGCUUUUAUGUUAAUUACUGAUUUGGGUCUUCUGUGAUCACGAUUUAUGCUUUCUCACCAAUUCCUCUCAUUUCCUCAGUGGACUUGAAUUUCCUGGUUUUAAUUUUCUUAGUGAUUUAGAAAAUAUACAUCCUCUUAUAAAUUUUACAUAUGAUUCUGUUAUCAUUUUAAGGUUUUAGGAUCCAUUCAGGAGAAAGUAACCACAAGAGUAAUUUGAACAGGGAAAAUUCAGUAUGAAGAAUUAUUAACUAGUUAACAGGGGAUUGACCACUAAAGGUGCAGACAUCUCUGGAGAAUACAAGAUUAGCAGAUGUAGGGAGCGGCCACUACUUAUAGACCGAGAGUCCCCAAGAAAGGGACUUGAAAGAGCCCUCUCCCUCCUCCCCUAAGGCUGAGAUUCAGAUCUCACCGAGGACACUAUGGUGUGGCCCAUUGGAUGGGGAAGUUGGCUGAGGUGCCACAGUUUAAGGUGGCAGGCAGGGUGCCAGGGAAGCCUGCUAGGAAGUCACUUGCUGGGGUGCCAGUGACACUCGAGGAAGGCCACCUCAUGAGGUGCUAGCAGAAUUCUGGGGAGUGUGUGCCACUGGCAAGAAAGCCGAUGCUGACAGUGAUACAUGAGGGGCAAGCAGGAAAAGCAGCAGAACUGGGAGUGACACCCCUCCUACUUAUCGUGUCCCCUCCAGUGCCUUCCACUGACGGUGUCUGGUACUGUGCUCAUGGUAAAGGAGGGGUGUUUGUAGGUCACAACUCCAGUAUCACAAACUGGUGCAAAAGGGUAGAUUUGGAGCUGGCACACUGAUCACUGUUUUCCUGAAUCCCACUCAAACCUGUAUUUUUUCUUAGCAGCUACAUUAAAAAUGAAGCUGUUGUCAGAACCAGCUUGAAUUCCAUUAACAGCUCCUUUAUGUCUUUGGGGAAUCUCCAGGGGAGGUGUUUCAGUUUCACUAUUCAAACCUGUUUUAGCUCAUCUGAUUGUUGUCCCUGGUAGCUCAUCUUUUUAAGUUUAAUGCAGGAUUUUCAUCUCUGCCUGGCCCCUUGUGCUUAGGGCAUUUGCGGGAAGUGUUUCCUUGGUUCCUUCUCAUUCCUGCAGUCCUGAAUCGUUUCUUUUUGUCCUCUUUAUUCCACAUUUAUAGCCAGAAAUAAAGCCAAGGAGGGGGAGUUCAGACAGUAUUGAUUCUCUGAAAGUUUUAGUCUUAUCAGUUAGGCAUGCAUUUGUUUAGAAAAUCAAGUUCUGGAAUGAUGGUGAUGGCUGGAAUAUCUUCUAGAUUUGUGUGUUUUCUUACUGUCCACAUUAAAAAUGUAGCAACCACAACCCUCUGGACAACCUUUACAACAUAACUUGAUGACAGGCUAUCCCCACGGACUCCAAAAUAUGAAUGAGUGGGGAUAAACCGCCUUCCGGCAUACAGCAUGCGUGUGAUUGUGUCCGUGCAGGAAAAAAUAAAAGGGAGGUGAUGAGGCAUCUGACAGAUCUAAGAAUAGUAAAACCCAUAGUAGCCAACACUUAGUCUUGGAAUGAGUGGUAGACCAAGUUGGCUAAAUUUGGGAUGUGUUUUACCCACUGCAGUAGGGGGUGAGUGAAAGAGGAAGUAGAAAUUUGAAGACAAAUUAGCAAUCUCGAUGAUUGAUGUGUUAGUGUUUUUUAAGGUAGUUCUAAGUAUUUCACAAGUGUCCCAAGGCAAGAUUUUUCCCUAUGGGGGGAAAUACAACAACUUAUUAUAGAUGCGUAUUAAAAUUACCAGUUCUAACAUAUUUGUUAACGUACCAUGUAGAGUUAUGCUGUCCAGUAGGGUAGCUGCUAGCCACGUGUGACAACUGAGCACUUGAGAUGUGCCUGGUUUAAAUUGUGUUGCGCUGUAAGUAACUUCCUGGAUUUUGAAGACU